rnacentral:misc_RNA from 1 species
GAUGAAGAACGCAGCGAAAUGCGAUACGUAAUGUGAAUUGCAGAAUUCAGUGAAUCAUCGAAUCUUUGAACGCAUAUUGCGCUCUCUGGUAUUCCGGAGAGCAUGCUUGUUUGAGUAUCAGUAAACACCUCAACUCCCUUUUCUUUUUUGAAAUGGGAGCUGGACUUGAGUGAUCCCAACACUUUUCUCACUGGAAAGUGGCGGGUCACUUGAAAUGCAGGUGCAGCUGGACUUUUCUCUGAGCUAUAAGCAUAUCUAUUUAGUCUGCCUAAAAAACAGAUUAUUACCUUUUCGGCAGCUAACAUAAAGGAGAUGAGUUCUUGUGCUGACUGAUGCAGGAUUCACAGAGACAGCUUUGCGGCUGACUUUGUAAACUCGAUCUCAAAUCAAGUAAGACUACCCGCUGAACUUAAGCAUAUCAAUAAGCGGAGGA